rnacentral:rRNA from 1 species
CACGUAGGGGGCGAGCGUUGUCCGGAUUUAUUGGGCGUAAAGAGCUCGUAGGCGGCUCAGUAAGUCAGGUGUGAAAACUCCAGGCUCAACCUGGAGACGCCACCCGAUACUGCUGUGGCUAGAGUCCGGUAGGGGAGCAUGGAAUUCCUGGUGUAGCGGUGAAAUGCGCAGAUAUCAGGAGGAACACCGGUGGCGAAGGCGGGUCUCUGGGCCGAUACUGACGCUGAGGAGCGAAAGCGUGGGGAGCGAACAGG